rnacentral:ncRNA from 1 species
GUUCAAUUUGACUCAACACGGAUAACUCACCCGAUCAACACAUUGAAAAGAUCAUUAGAUCGAGAGCUCUUCUUUAAACCAAUGCUUGCUGCUGCAUCGCCGUUCCUAGUUGGAGGAGUGACUUGUUUAGUCAAUGCCAAUAAUGAACGAGACACUGCAAUAUUAAGUAGUGAAUAUCUGGGAAAACUAACAGUUAUUUCUUCAAAUACGAUGGCCAGGUUGUUAGACAGUGAACACGCUAAUGGUACAACAGCAUCCAGUUUGGGUUGACAAUAAGUGUCUGC